ACUUUCAAAGAUUGAGCAGGAAGCACAAACAUUGUUCAGCCAAAGAUGGUUCUGUAGGCAGAGCAUACACACCAAACUGGGUAGUGGUAUUGCAGUCCUUUCACCAGAGACCAUCUCCGAUCCCUAGAGCUUCUUCAUGAUGCCAACGAUGGAGGGAGAGUGGGGACACAUCUGGUGCGUCAUCAUAACCUGCACUUAAAGCAGUGGACAACCAUUGUGUCAAACAUCUGAGAAAGACAGAGCACCAGGGAUCUGACUUAGGCUGCUAACUUCACGAGAUGAGAUUAGGGUGAUCACAACCUACACUGAUAAGAAAAAUGGGAGAAAAAUAAUAAAGAAGACAUUCUUUUUCUCUUGGAUAUUAUGACAGUUGUGGUGACUCAAAUGUAAGGAGCAGACACUAAAUCCCUGUGUUGUGAAAUAAGGUCACACGUCUUUAAACUGUGAUAUAUUCAGCUGAAUACUACCUAUAUGAAGUGGAAGACAAACAAUGACAACUGCUAAUGCUUGAAGUAGCACAUACCAAGCAUUAAAUGCACUUGAAUAAAA